ACUCGGAGCAGCGAUGAUGAGUAGCUGUGCCGCUGUAUGGGCUGUAUGCACUUCCUUGGACAGUCAGAGGAGGGCAGUGCUUAAGUGGAAACAAAGCUGUCAGGGUGCAUUCGGCUUCACGUGUGUGAAGUGGCGUGUGUGUGUGUUUAUGCAAAGGUGUAUCUGUGUUUGUAUCAUACUGUGUGGCUCUCUCACAGCGCAGUGAGAAUCUGUGGUUUGCUGUUAUCUGCAGCUUGUAGCAUUCUGCUGGGUGUCUCUAUUGUGCUAUACGUUACAGCUUCAUCUUUGCAGACAUUGGGAGCUGUCAUUUCGCAACACCCUGUGAUGUGGGUGACACUCAGCUGCUUUGACAGGUGCUGGACAGCAGACACACUCGUAGACGAGCUGGCAAUAUUUCUUCAGGAUUGCCCACUUUCGGGGGUAAAGACCAAAACAGAAAAAGCGGGAAAAAUGGGAACCUUUGAUGCCACUAGAUCAGUUUCUUCUGCCAGUACCCAUCUCCAUCACUGCCACAUCAGCUGGUCCCAAGGUUGUGAGGUCAUCCAAACAUCUGGCCCCUCCGCCAUGUUUUCUAAGGUGCCACCUGACAAACCUGAUCUGUCUCUCGCCGUAAAUGUACCUCAACAUGUGGAUGGCCUCCUGCCAGUUGGGCCUACUCCGAGUGCCGCAGUGUCAACAGUGAAGAGAAAGGGCCAGAGGGGUGAUCUCACUUGGAAAAUCCGUCCUGAUGUCCCGACUUGUCCGUGGAGCAUGAUUUCACUGAUUCCUGCCCCCCUUUUUAUGAUGGCCUCUUGAUUGUCAUCUGAAGAUGGUCUGCGGGACAUGCAUGUCAUGUUAAUAAAGGCAUUAAAACCCAUGUAUCCCUCCACCACAGAACAAAGUCUGGACCUGUCCGCGAAUAUAGAUCUCUAAUUGCUUUUGCGUGGUGGUGCAGCAGAAUUGUGCUUCCCAGAUGUCACGUCUGCCAAACCCCGGUGCACAUCACUGUCAGCGGGCCUGAGAAAUCUCCCUAACAAGCUUGUGAUUACAUAAAUCUAUAGCUGCAGUGUCGCCAAAGAGACUGAAUAACUUUCAAGGAGACUUCAUGUUUGAUGUUCCCGGGCUUGAUUGCAAAGAGGAAAAAAAGAGAAACCCUCUAUAUUGGGAAUGUGUCCAAACACUCUAGGUUUGCUAAUUUUGUCAUAGUCAAUUUUAUAGCAUGGCCGUGAGAAUGGGUGGCGAUGGAAUGAAGUUUCUGAGUGCUUUGCAAAGGGGCGUGAGUGGGUUUGACAGGCCCACUGAAAUAUGCUCCGCUCUACCUUAUUUCAUUACAGCAGCAGGGGCUAAAAAUGCAAAUCUGGGGUCCUCUCUCAAGAGGUUGUUAGAAAAGUGACACGUCAAACAACUGGCUUCGAGUGGCAGACAAAAUCUUACAUUAAUGUUUCAUCACUGAGCUCAUAUUUUGAUAUCUGAUUACUGCAGUGGCUUUUCAGGCAUUCUCAACAAAUUCUCAUUCUCAGUAAAGCUAUGCUUUCCUCCAAGCAGCUCUCUAAAGCCAUUGUUUGGAUGGCCUCGCCAUUUACUUCCAUGUUUAAUAUGGCAGAAAUCCUUGGUCAUGAGAACAGUAACCACAUCCUAAACACAGAGACUGAUAGACCAGAUCCGUCUCAUGGCCUUCUCUUAAGGGGUGAUGAAUUGGCUUAAUGGGGAGUCGACCACGCAGCCACACAGAGGGAGGAGUGAGAGGAGGUAUUAAAUGACAUGAUUUUAUAGCCUAUCAGCACUGUCAUACCUCAGCUGUAAGCUGAAUGUCUUUUUUUUCAGUACAAUAAUGCGGUUUGAAUAUAACGGCCUAUGCCACGUUAAACACACUUAUGCAAAACACUUCAAGUACUACCAUGUACUUGUGCAAAAGUUUUUAGCCACCCAGCAUUUUUUUAUAUUUUGCUUCAAAAGAGCCAGACUUUCUUGUAUUUUUAAGGUGGUUUUCAGCAAUAGUUCUUCAGGCUUCCUGAAGGUCUUUCAAAACGUUUCUUUGGAGAUUGGCAGCUUUUUCUCAGAUUUUCAGUCCAGUCCUUGUACCUGACUAUUUUUAGAGGAUUGAUUUUUUUCAAAUCCAUAUAACAAUGACCUAUGAAUCAUUCAGGCAUAAAAAAGGCACCUAACUCAACAUAUGAACCAAUGUUGUGUCUAAAAAUAACAGACAACUUAGCAAAGAACCAAUAAACUGCCAUAAAACACAUUUGUUCCCAUUUCUUUAUUCAGAACUUUACAUAAUACCAAAGAUAACCCAGUUUGAAAGUAUAAAACUGUAUUUUUGUGCCAACAAGUUGAUUCCCAAACAGCUAUUAGCUGAAAAAUUGGCAUAUUUCAGCAUGGUGUGCAGUUUGUCCUUAAAAAGUUUGAGGAAACAGGACAAGUGGCAGAACUUAAAAAAAAACCAUUAUCUGAGAUCAGUUACGAAAUAGGACUGGACUGAUCAGCUGAUACAUCUACUUUUCCCUGAAGCCUCCUCAGACAUGGUCGCAGUAGAAGGGUGACCAUUCGUAAGGAAGAGGGAAAGGCUUAAAGUGUGCCGCAUUACACAAGAACUGGACUGGAAAUUAGUGGCAGCAGGCCUUAUGGAGUGAUGAAUCCAAAUUUUCUUCAGCAUUAUUGAAGCAGUGUAGUAUCAUCUCAACAGAGAGUGAAACAAAAGGCUGCUAACAUCUAAAGAGGAGCUUUGAAUGUUAUUCAAGAACCCCAAAGAACUCUUCCUGAAAACUACUUAAAUUAUAAGAAAGCUGCCUAAGAGAGUUCAGACUGUUCUGAAGAAUAAAAGUAUUUAAGGAAAUUAUUGACUUUUUCAUUAGAAUUGUUUUUGCCUUGUAUUUGGUAUUAACAUUUGUGUUUGCACAUGUUUCACUGCACCUAUUUCCCAUUUUCUUAGUAACAUAUAAAUAAAUGAGAGGUGAUUAAGACUUAAGACUAGCAAUAAUUGCCAUCACCUGUAAAUAAAAUUUUAAAAACACAUUUUUUUGGAUUAUGUGUGCUUUUUUUUUUUUUUUUUUUUUUUAAAGAAGUUUAGUAGUUUAGUUACCAACAAUAUGGAACCAGUUUCAUUCAUUUACACUUGUGCCAGUUCCAGCUUUUUGGCAGCACUGGCACCAUGCUGGUGGUUUCCAUGUUACCACUUUCUGUUUAUUUUAGGCAGACCAAAGAAUUAUGUACAGAUAUAAAUCCCACUAACUUGGAUGACCCCCUUAGUUGUCCUCUGGCACUAUUGUAAAUAUAUAUGGUCAUGAAAUUUGGUCUGAAUCACAGCUUUGAUGGUUCUUUCUUAUUCAUCCAGCACAAAACCAAAUAAUUUGAUCAUGACCGAAUCCCUGCCAAACUAAUAAGAUUUGCAUCAGCCCUAAUGUACUUAGUGCUAAUUUGUUGGCCUGCAAACACACCGAAGUCAGUCGCCAAACACAGUCAACACCUGCUUAACAUCCACAUGUUAGCAUUGUUACUGUGAACCUGUUUGAAUGCUCCUGUGAGUUUAGCUCAGCAUUCAGCUAGUGCCUCACAGAGCAGCUCAGUUCUCGGACUUUACAAACCACGCAGGUAAACAGGUGUAGGGAUUUUCCAGGCCGCUGGGAAGACGCGUAUAUAAAAAUACUUUUUAUUUGAAGCCACUCCAACAAGCACCCCAGAAGCCGUAAACAGCGCGUGACAGGUGAGACCCAUUAGGGUGAUAUUCUCCUUGAGUAUUUACCAGCCUGUUUUCACACAACUCAUUAUUCCUGAUAAAUUAGCUGGCUGAUGAUAGUGAUAUGUUGUAAUUUGUAAAUGAGUGGGGUGCACCUGUCAGUAAGGCUCAUUUGCUAAUAAUGAGCAUCCACUAAAUAAGUAACAACCCUCCUAAUUUCAGUUGACUCCUUUACCGUCUGCUUUGUAUUAUUUUGCCGUUUUCUUUUGCUGCAGAUUGAUUCCUUCGUUGAAAAUGUGUUCCCAGUCAAGCCUCCGUCUCUCUUUGCUUCAUAGACUCGCAUGUGAAUUAUUCCAGUUCAUUAUUUGCUGAACUGGUAUUGAUGAUCAUUUCAUAUCCUUGAUCAUGUUGUUCGUUGCAUUUUAUUUUGCUUCUAUUCAUAAAUAGAGACAAAAAGAUGAUAGUUAGCAAUACAUAAACAUGGCGGUACACUUUGCUUUUUUUCUUGCAGAACUUCCUUUUUUUAGUACUUUAAUGCAAAUAAAGAUUCAUAAAUAUAUGCAGGAAGGCUUACUACUCUGUCUUUGCGUGAAAUAUCAAUAUAUAUUUUUAAAUAUACCGUCAGAUAAACAGACUGACAGAUAUUUUUGCCUCAAAUAUGGUAAAAUUGUGCGAAUCUUAAAACCUUAAGGGAAAAACGAGAUAAAAGGAGCACCAGGGUGGCAUGACUGGUCACCCAUUAAACGAUAUUACCCUGAUACUUUACAAAGGCUUCCUCCUAAUACAAGACAAGGGGGUAUGUGACCUUCAGCUAUUAAACCAGCCUGUUAAUUGUCUAAUAAUAAAAUGUUUUUAUUGUACAAACCCUCUUUUAGUGUAAUUGAAUUUCUGUCUGCCUUCGCUCAUCUCACUUUUAUUUCUGUCUUUUUUGCUGAGGCUGUGAAUCCUCGCUAUUACUGGUUAUAAUGACGGCAUAGGAUUGGUUCUCCGGGAUCACCACAUCUAUCCUCCUCCUCACUCGUCUCCCCGCAAACUUUACAUUUAAACCACUCUCAUUACAGCGCAGAUUACAGAGGCUUAUUGGUCCUCAUUAGAGCCCACUGAUCCUUGGCUGGGCCCAUGUCCUAACAUCUUUUAAUUAGCAUUCUGGAAAUCUAAUCAAUGUAAUAACUCAGAUUAAUCUCCCCUUUUGCACUUAUUUUCUCACACUCU